AUGGAUAUGGCAUGGUAAAAGCUUACCUCCUAGUACAAGUGUUAAGUGAAAUUAAACUCAAGCAAAUAGUCAAACUCAGGCAGAUAAUGAGGAGAAUAAUGAAACAAAUGUUAGCAAUGAUGAAGAUGAUGAAAUCAAUAACUGAAUAGAUGAAAUGAUGCGUGAUGUGCAUGGAGAUUUUAGUGAAAUGCUUCUUGAAUUUAAAUGUUUGUUUGACAGUGCUCAAAAACCUUUAUUCUA